UACGUAGGUGGCAAGCGUUAUCCGGAUUUAUUGGGUGUAAAGGGCGUGUAGGCGGGAAUGCAAGUCAGAUGUGAAAACUCAGGGCUCAACCCUGAGCCUGCAUUUGAAACUGUAUUUCUUGAGUGCUGGAGAGGCAAUCGGAAUUCCGUGUGUAGCGGUGAAAUGCGUAGAUAUACGGAGGAACACCAGUGGCGAAGGCGGGUUGCUGGACAGUAACUGACGCUGAGGCGCGAAAGCGUGGGGAGCAAACAGG
rnacentral:rRNA from 1 species